rnacentral:lncRNA from 1 species
UUUGAUGGAUGAGUGGUAAAUUAUGGUGGUGGAUGGAUAUAGGUGAGUUAUGGUGAAGGGUGGAUGGGUGGAUUGUGUUCUCUUUUUGGUUGGAUGAGUGCCACGGCAAGGGAAUGGAAUUGUAUGUGUUUGUGGGAUGUGGGAAUAUAUGGAUGAAUGUAAGGUCUUUUGAAUGGGAUCCCUCGUUAUGGUGAAGGGUGGAUGUAUUUAUAGGCUAGGGAGAGGAGUGUAUGGAGUUGUAAUGAGUGGAUGUAAUUGGUGUAGUGGGUGAGUGUUCUUGGGUGGUUGAAAUGAGUGGAUGUAGUGGUAGGUGAAUGUGUUGGGUAGUUGUAAUGAGUGGAUGUAGUGGUAGGUGAAUGUGUUGGGUGGAAUGAGUGG